GAUGAACGCUGGCGGCGUGCCUAAUACAUGCAAGUCGAGCGACCACACGAUGAGCUUUCUCCCCUGCCGUUAGCGGCUGACGGGUGAGUAACACGUGGAUCACCUUCCUCUAUGACUGGGAUAACUUCGGGAGACCGGAGCCACUACUAGAUCAUAUAUUCAACCGCAUGGAUCAAUAGUGAUUGACGGCUUUGCUGUCAGUUAUAGCUGGAUCCGUGUCGGAUUAGCUAGUUGGUAAGGUAACGGCUUACCAAGGCUACGAUGCGUAGCCGACCUGAGAGGAUGAUCGGCCACACUGGAACUGAGACACGGUCCAGACUCCUACGGGAGGCAGCAGUAGGGAAUAUUCGGCAAUGGGCGCAAGCCUGAUGGAGCAACGCCGCGUGAGUGAUGAAGGUCUUCGGAUUGUAAAACUCUUUUAUUAGGGAAGAAAAGCUGUGUAAGAAACUAUGGAUGUCUUGACGGUACCUAAACAGUAAGCACCGGCUAACUACGUG
rnacentral:rRNA from 1 species